rnacentral:misc_RNA from 1 species
AAGUCGUAACAAGGUCUCCGUAGGUGAACCUGCGGAGGGAUCAUCAAAGGAUAUUUUAUAUCACAAAAGGAAAGACCUAAAAAAUCUUUCCUCAAACAAACGAUCACAACUAUUGAAUGAAUGAAUGAAAGUUUGAUUUGGCUUAUGAAAAAAAGUGUUUGCCUGAUAAUUCAUCUGAUUUGGAAACAAGAAAAUACAACUUUCAACAACGGAUCUCUUGGCUCUCACAU